rnacentral:rRNA from 1 species
UACGAAGGGGGCUAGCGUUGCUCGGAAUUACUGGGCGUAAAGCGCACGUAGGCGGCUUUCUAAGUCGGAGGUGAAAUCCUGGAGCUCAACUCCAGAACUGCCUUCGAUACUGGAGAGCUUGAGUCCGGGAGAGGUGAGUGGAACUGCGAGUGUAGAGGUGAAAUUCGUAGAUAUCGGGAGGAACACCUGUGGCGAAGGCGGCCCCCUGGUUGGAUACUGACGCUGAUACGCGAAAGCGUGGGGAGCAAACAGG